rnacentral:sRNA from 1 species
UUUUCAGAUCUUUACAUGUUUGGGAUGCAUUUGGAGAUUAUGGAACAUUCAGGAGCAAAACAGACAACUUAAGCUGCGACAGCAAUUCGGAGACGGAAAUCGACGUAUGCAUCUCUUCAUUAU